ACAUGGAGGUGACACAUGGAGGCGACACAUGGAGGUGACACAGAGGUGCCACGAGGUGACAGAGGAGGUGACACAAAGGUGCCAGGAGGUGACACAGGAGGUGACACAGGAGGAGGUGACACAGGAGGUGACAUAUGGAGGUGGCAGGUGCCAGGAGGGGACACAAAAGUGACACUGAAGCGAC
rnacentral:lncRNA from 1 species